rnacentral:lncRNA from 1 species
AAAUUCGUCCAAACUCCUUGCUCCAUGCAUAUGCACUUCAUUCCAAGCCCAAUUUUGCUCCUAAAAGCUCCAAAAUGCUCCUUUUUGCAUACUUUGACAAUAAAACCUGAAAUUGCACGAAAAUGACUUUAAACACUAAACUAACUAAGGAAAAACAACAUAAAUGCAUGAGAACAAGCCAAUUAAGUCGCAUAAAAAUGCUCCUAUCAAAUUCCCCCACACUUAGCUUUUGCUAGUCCUCGAGCAAAACAAAGAAACAAAAGAAAAACAAAACGAAACCAAACUACCAAAAACAACCUAAACCUUCCAACGUUUGCCUUAGGGAUUUCCAAUGCACAUGACAUGUUAAAGAUUAUCAUUCCCACAGAAUUGAGUCAAUUUAACACUUAAGCACAUACUUAAUCAUAGUCACUACUUACUAAUUCACA